UCUCUCCACCUCUCUUUCUCAAUUUCUUUAUCCCAUUUCAAAACAAAUCCCCAAUUUGGGAGAGAAACUAAACCCUAGCUAAAUCGACCACCUCUCCUCGCCGUCUCACAGCGUUCGUCGCCAUCUACGGCGCCACCCAUCACAUCCUACCGAAGUGCUCCACCGUUGCCGACACCCCUCACCUUGUUUACUCUCGGUUUCCCUUCAUGAUUUGAACGGAAACUCAUCAAUCGGGGGAAAAGCGUCGGACCUGUCGGUCAGGUCAUCGGGAGCUGAGCCGGCCGUCGCGUGGACUCCCACGCUCUUGGUGAUGCCAGAGUGCCGCCUCCGUCCCUCCAUUCUCGUCGCAGUCCAUUUGCCGUGGCCGAUCGGCCCAGCAGCGGCGCUGCUACUUUUCGUUGCUAAUCUUUCACCGCCGGAGGAAAAAAGAGGGCAUCGCCUCAUUUUCUCCCUCCGUGAACACGACUUCACCCUGCGCAUGUGAAGCUCGUUAGGGCGGUGCCGUCUCUGCACCAGGAGCUUCCGCGGCUGCCUUUGCGGCGUUGCCCUCGCCGGUGGCCUCCGGGCAGUUUCUCGUAUCUAAAGCUAAGUCUUCCUUACUUAGCUCAUUUAUGACUUCUUUAGACGACACCGGUUCUGAUUACAUGUUUUAGCAUUAGACAGGUUAUGGUGAUUUGAUCCUUGUUCAUGAGCAUCUAUGUUCCUAGGUUCUUAUGUUCUAGCUAUUUGUUUGCUCUAGACGAAGCAAUCAUGGUGUUAAGGGGAUUACCUCUUGUGAAAGUGUUGGUUUGAAGUUGUCGGUCGCUGGCUAUGCUAAAAAAAACCGAGCUCCCUGCUCACAGUGUGGUUCUCUUCACCUCUCACUUGCUAUCUAUCUGGGUGGAAGUGUUGUGGUGUGGUAUAGUGUAACCGAGGGGUUUAGCAUGUGUAUAUAUACACAUAUCUUGUAACUUAAAGCUGCAAAGGCUGAGUGUUGGCUGGAACAAGGGAUCCACAAGCUGUGCAGCUGGCUGCUCUCUCUGAAGCUCUGCAGAGCAUGUACCCUGAGUCCCUGUUUUCCCUCUAACUGAUUUUGGUGGCUUUUGGAGGUGUACUCGUGAAUUAAAUGUGCCAUUGCAGCCUUAUGUGUUGUACCAUGAUUGUAGUCCUUAUUUCCCCUGUCUGUUGUAGGUUUUCUUUUCUUAUUUUGGCUCUGUUUCGCAGGUCCAGGGUGGGGCAGAGGUUGUUGCUGGCAGUGCAGGUCCUUGCUGCACUCCCCUUUACUUUGGCUUACUUGGCAGGUGUACAGAGGGAGGUACAACCCAUCAAAUGCAGCCUUGCAGUGGGGCAGUUGCUGGAAGUGAAAAUCUGCCGGCUGGGAUCUGCUGGGGUGCCUUUUUUGCACUAUUACAACAGCCUUAUGUGGGUUUCAGUGUCGUAGGCUUCUGGGGCGAUAAUCCAUCCCUCGGCCUAGAAAAUCCUUCGGAUCAAAUGGCUCUCCGGACUUGGCGUAAUGCAUAGCGGGGUCCGAAAAGGAAUCGAGUCUUCCCCUUUUUCUUCUUCAUGUGGCACGAUUGCUUAAGGUUAUGUAAUAGGUCUUGUAGAGUGAAAACUUAAUCGAGUCUUGUAGUAGUUUCACUCGUACAUUUUCUUUAUUUUUAUCAUCAAUAUUUGUAAUACACGAUUUAAAAUGGAAACUCUAGAUAUCAUGUUUUGUUCGCUCAAGAAUAUAAAUGAAUUCUCUUUUAUCUUUCUA